UCAGAUUUAUCUCAGAACCUGAUUUUGAAAUUUACUACUUUUGCAUCUUUGAAACCAUUACUUGCUUCUUGAAGCACAUUUUUUUGUUUCCUGAAUUAGCGUCAGUCUAUUAAGCACAAACAUGAACACGAGACACGAAACCACCGGUAACAGUUUGUGAAGAUCAUAGUGAUUGUAUGUGAUCAUUAUCGUCAUUGUCAUUGUUGCGUUGGUGUCGGAUAGUUCUACCAUCUGAAGGGUUAAGGAUAUAUAGAGCGCUGGGUUUUGUUACACAGUGAAUGGUUGUAACAAGGAACAAGGAGAAUAGUGUUUCAUGCGAUAGAUCAGAGGUUAGGAAAUGUGGAGAGAUUUGUUUGCUGUUACUGGAAUGGAGGGAAUAUUCUAGUCGGAGGAGAAUAAGAGAUCCGGAAGGAGAGGAAGAGAUGAUGAUGAGGACGAAGGAAGUGGUGGAAUGUUGUCAGCAGAAUCGCAGUCACGACAUCACCGGAGCAGAGACAGUUACGCCUCCAGACAUCGUGGUGGCCGGAGGAAGUUGGGAACACAUAGAAAUAAAUUAAAAAAAUCUGAGUUUGAAAUGGGAGAAAGGGGGACAGCACCUUUAGUAUUAAUGGGGAUCCUACCAUUGACAUAGACCGAGUCUUAGCCCUUUCUCUAGCCUAGUAAUAGUAGUUAAGAGGAAAGACGGGGUUGGAGAUUUUGUAGUUGAAACAAAUGCAUCAGGGAAACUGAUUGGGUUGGUAUUGAUGCAAGGAAUACCUGUAGCGUAUGAGUUAAACAUGUUAGGCAGAGCUCAAAAAAGGUCAGUGUAUGAGAGAGAACUCAUGGCUAUUGUCAUAGCUAUUCAAAAAUGGAGACCAUAUCUGCUAGGGAGACAUUUCAUGGUUCAUACUGAUCAGAAAAGUUUAAGGUUCUUAACUGAGCAAAGGAUCAUGGGAGAAGAGCAACAAAAAUGGAUUUCAAAAUUAAUGGGCUAUAGUUUCAAAAUCAAGCAUAAACCGGGAAAAGAAAAUAGCGCAGUAGAUGCUUUAUCUUGACAGAUGCAAUAUUCUACAAUUACUACAGGUAAAUGUGAAGUGUGGGAAGGGCUGGAAGAAGCACAAGCUGAUGAAAAGUUGAAGACCAUUGUUCAAGAAUUGCUGGCAGAUUCUUACUCUCACAAGGGCUGUAAGUUAAAAAAAAGGCAUAAGACAAAAUUGUUUUACCAAAGAAUUCAUCUUGGAUUCUUUGGAUCUUACAAGAAUUGCAUGACUCAGCUAUUAGGGGACACUCUGGGAUCUUUAGAACUUACAAGAGGAUUGCAGGGCUGGUGUAUUGGGAAGGCAUGCGAAAAGGAAUCCAAGGGUAUUUACAAGCUUGUGAAGUGUGUCUGCAGAAUAAAUAUCAAACUUUGAGUCUAGGUGGUUUGUUGCAGCCUCAUCCUAUUCCAGAGUAGAUAUGGCGCGAUAUCUCCAUGGAUUUCAUAGGAGGGUUACCUAAGGUGUUAGGGGUUGACACUUUCAAGGUGGUAGUGGAUAGGUUAACAAAAUAUGCUGAUUUCAUCCAAUUAAGCAUUCCUACACAGGUAAAGAUAUAGUGGAUGUGUUCAUCAAAGAAGUAGUGAAAUUACAUGGUUUUCCAAGCUCUAGUGUAUGACAGGGACGCGGUAUUUAUGAGUGCUUUUUGGUUUGAAUUAUUCAAGCAAGCAGAUACUAGAUUAAAGUUUAAUAGAAGCCUAUCUAAGGUGUCUGACAGGGAGGAAACUGAAACAGUUGCCAAAGUGUUUAAGUUGGGUAGAGUAUUGGUACAACACCAACCAUCAUUCAUCUCUUACGACUACUCCUUUUGAGGCAUUGUAUGGAAGGGAGCCCCCACCUUAAUUUGAGGAGAUUCACACAAGGUUAUGAGAGGGUGUACGUGAAAGAAAAGAAGAGGGGGGAAGCAGGGACAAUCCACUAAUAACUACCUGUUGAGUGGGCUAAGUGGGGUAUGGGUGAGGAGAGAGAAAUUGGCAGUUCUUGAAUAAAAAGAAGGAACAUGCACUGGAGUGGGCAAACUAGAAAUUGGAAGUUAUUCUUGGGAGAUCUUAGGCUUCUCGAACUGCCAUUUUAUCACUUUUUAUCAUUGUAAUCCACAUCUGAACCACUUUGAUUCUGUUUGUUAUGCGAAAAUUAAUAUAACAGUGUUCAUCCUUCUCUUUUAUGUCAAUUUACCAUUAAAUUCCUCGGUGAUA